GAGAUAGAGAGUCUCUUCUCUCUUUAGUAGGAGUACAUACAUGAUCUCCAACCCCCACACUGCCUUGUCCCUCACUCAUUAUCUCUUCCAGUUCCUUUCUUAAUAAACUCUUUAAAGUCAUUUGGUUUGAGAUUUGUUGCUAGCUAAGCUAAGAUCAAACGUGGUGACGGGAGAGAUGGAUCAGUUUAACGGGAUAUUGGUCCGGUUCAAUAAGAAAUCAGUGUUCAGAAUGUUAUGGGCCCUGCUUUUUGAUUGAGCCGUGCCAAUAUCACGUUCCACUGCUCCCAAAUCCUCGUAUCUGUUCCAUCAAAGGAUCAAAGAUAGUUUCUUUCUUUCAUAGCCUGAAACCCCAGGGCAUGGAAGGUAAGUCCUAGUGCAUCUUUCUUUUCUUUUUUCCGUUUUUAUCAUUUUAACUCAACAGUUAACUUUUCUUUUCUUUUUCUAAUUUUUUGGCAUUGAUGUUCAUGAAUUGAGGUAAUUAAAAGUCUCCUUGUGCAGUUUGUUCAACCCAAGCUCUUUGUCAUGAUGAUAUGGUUCUAUGGUAGACUCGUUCACAAGAAGAAGACUCAUGGAGCAAUGUUGAAAAUAAACUUUGAUAGUCUUUUUUAUUUUCUUUGCUUUACUUGCUUUUUUUGUGUAAGAUGGUCUUUUUUAUUUUCUUUGCUUUACUUGCUUUUUUUGUGUAAGAGAAAGGUUAGAGCAUGUACCAUUGCUGCUAUUUUUUGCUUCAUUAAUGGGUCUUUCAAGUACAACUCGUUGCUAAAAUUUGACACUUUGCUCAUUUCUCUUUGAAUAUUCACUGAGCAAAUCGUUUUUGCUGCAAAUUUAGCGCCAGCAUAUGGAAAGUAAAGAGAAAUUUUACAAGUAUGAA